rnacentral:rRNA from 1 species
UACGUAGGGUGCAAGCGUUGUCCGGAAUUAUUGGGCGUAAAGAGCUCGUAGGCGGUCUGUCGCGUCGGCUGUGAAACCCCGAGGCUCAACCUCGGGCCUGCAGUCGAUACGGGCAGACUAGAGUAUGGCAGGGGAGACUGGAAUUCCUGGUGUAGCGGUGAAAUGCGCAGAUAUCAGGAGGAACACCGGUGGCGAAGGCGGGUCUCUGGGCCAUAACUGACGCUGGAGGAGUGAAAGCGUGGGGAGCGAACAGG